UAAGGAAUAUUGGUCAAUGGGCGCAAGCCUGAACCAGCCAUGCCGCGUGCAGGAAGACGGCCCUAUGGGUUGUAAACUGCUUUUGUCAGGGAAUAAACCUUUGUACGAGUACAGAGCUGAAGGUACCUGAAGAAUAAGCAUCGGCUAACUCCGUGCCAGCAGCCGCGGUAAUACGGAGGAUGCAAGCGUUAUCCGGAUUCAUUGGGUUUAAAGGGUGCGCAGGCGGAUUGGUAAGUCAGGGGUGAAAUCCCACAGCUCAACUGUGGAACUGCCCUUGAUACUGUCAGUCUAGAGUAUAGUUGAAGUUUGCGGAAUGUGUCAUGUAGCGGUGAAAUGCUUAGAUAUGACACAGAACACCAAUUGCGAAGGCAGCUUACUGAGCUAUAACUGACGCUGAUGCACGAAAGCGUGGGGAGCGAACA
rnacentral:rRNA from 1 species